rnacentral:misc_RNA from 1 species
UCCGGUUUGACACCGGCAGUCCCCUUAGAGUCCCCGACUUUACUCGCUGGUAACUAAGGGCAAAGGUUUCGCUCGUUAAGGGACUUAACCCGACAUCUCACGACACGAGCUGACGACAGCCAUGCAGCACCUGUACCAGUUGUACCCCGAAGGGCCUACUCCGCUUUCACGGAGAUAAUCCUGGCAUGUCAAGCCCAGGUAAGGUUCCUCGCUUAUCGUCGAAUUAAACCACAUGCUCCACCGCUUGUGCGGGUCCCCGUCAAUUCCUUUGAGUUUUAGCCUUGCGGCCGUACUCCCCAGGCGGGGUGCUUAAUGCGUUAGCUUCGGCACGGAAGGGGUCGAUAUCCCCCCACACCUAGCACCCAUCGUUUACGGCUGGGACUAC